CAGUCUUCUGGAACCAGCGAAGGAAGUGGACUGUCCUUUUGUCCUCGUAGGUGGAGGCUCCCUCUACCAAGGAGUUCAGAAACCACCUGUCUGCAGCUGGCUGAGGAGCGGUGCAUUGUGGGUCAGCGUGCUCCAGCGGUGGAGGAGGGCGAGGGCGUCUUGGGAGGAAAGAGCCUGGGGUCGUAAGGUCAGCCAGCCAGCCUCCCCGUGGACCCUCAGAGCUGUUCCACAAUGUUGCAGGAUGGAGCUCAGAGUCUGGAGAUACAGGCUCAGCUGACCUGCCUUCACCAGUCUGGAGAAGAGAAGAGGGGUAUGAGAGGAGGAGAGAGGAGAGGUAACAGAGCUGUCCCACGAUGCUGCAGUCAGAAGCUCAGCGCUAGAGACUCAGCUGACCUGCCUUCACCAGUCUGGAGAAGACGGGUAUGAGAGGAGGAGAGAGGAGAGGUAACAGAGCUGUCCCACGAUGCUGCAGUCAGAAGCUCAGCGCUAGAGACUCAGCUGACCUGCCUUCACCAGUCUGGAGAAGACGGGUAUGAGAGGAGGAGAGGGGAGAGGUAACAGAGCUGUCCCACGAUGCUGCAGUCAGGAGCUCAGCGCUAGAGACUCUGGAGAGCAGUAUAGGAAUGGCGCUGGAAUGGAUAGCUAUCGUUUUAUGUGCUCUUCUGUGUGUUUUGUUUUACUCAUCUUAAAUGUAGACCACUAUUUACCAAGAGAGUUUAUCAUCUAUAUUCUUGUAGCGGUCUAUUGACCACCAUAAACUGAUGUUGGCACUAAGACCAGACUCAACCAGCUGUAUAAGGUCAUAAGCAAACAAGAAAAUGCUCAUCCAGAAGUGGCGCCCCUAGUGGCCGGUGUUUGUAAUGCAGGGAAACUGAAAUCCGAUUUACCUCAUUUCUACCAGCACGUCACCUGUGCAACUAGAGGCGACAAAACUCACCUUUACUCCACACAUAGAAACACGUGUAAAGCUCGCUCGCCCUCCAUUCGGCAAAUCUGACCAUCACUCUAUCCUCCUGAUUCCUUCUUACCAGUACAAACUCAAACAGGAAAUAGCAGCUCAAUAAAGAAGGAGAGCGGAACACUAAUCUGGACUCUUAUAAGAAAUCGCGCUACGUCCUCCAACGAGCCAUCAAACAGGUAAAGCGUCAAUACAGGACUAAGAUUCUAAUCCGACAACGCUGGCUAUGACGCUUGUCGGAUGUGGCAGGGCGCAUAAACUAUCACGGAUUAUAAAGGGAAAGUGAGACAAACCUAGCAGUUGAGCUAAAUGCCUUUUAUGCUCGCCUCGAACCAUGCAUGAGAACACCAGCUGUUCCAGACGACUGUGUGAUGAAGCUCUCCAUAGCUAAUAUGGAGAAAGGCCUUUUAAAACAGGUUAACAUUCACAAGGUCUCAAGGCCAAACAGAUUACCAGGACGUCACUCAGAGCAUGCGCUGACCAGCUGGCAAGUGUCUUCACUGACAUUUUCAACUCUGUAAUAUCAACGUGUUUCAAGACGACCAAUAUGUCCCUGUACCCAUGAAUGGCAAGGUAACCUGUCUAAAUGACUAUCGCCCUGUAGCACUCACAUCUGUAGCCAUCAUCCCAGACACCCUGGACCCAGUCCAAUUGGCAUACCUCCCCAACAGAUCCACUAAUGAUGCCAUCUCUAUUGAACUCCACACUGCCCUUUCCCACCUGGACAAGAGGAACACCUACGUGAGGAUGCUUUUCAUUGACGACAGCUCCGAAUUCAACGCCAUAGACAUCACUAAGCUAAGGACCAUGGGACUAGACACCUCCCUCUGCAACUGGAUCCUGAACUUCCUGACAGGCCGCCCCGAGGUGGUGAGGGUAGGCAACAACACGGCCGCCAUGCUGACCCUCAACAAAGGGGCCCCUCAGGGGUGCAUGCUUAGUCCCCUCCUGUACUCCUUGUUCACCCAUGACUGCGUUGCCACAUAGGACUCCAACACCAUCAUUAAGUUUGCUGACGACACAAUGGUGGUAUGCCUGAUCACCGACGACGAGACAGCCUGUAGGGAGGAGGUCAGCAAGACAGAAGAGCUGAUUGUGGACUGAAGGAAACGCAAGGCCACGCAAACCCCCAUUCACAUCGACAGGACUGUAUUGGAGCGGGUCGAGAGCUCCUCAGUGUCGACAUCACUAAGGAGCCAUCAUGAUCCACACACACCAACACAGUCGUGAAGAGAGCACGACAACACCUCUUUUCCCUUCAGGAGGUUGAAUCUGGUUGAAUCUGUGUUUGAAAUUCACUGUUCGAUUGGAGGGGACUUGCAGAUAAUUGUAUGUGUGGGGUACAGCGAUCAGGUAGACAUAAAAAAAAUAAUGUUAAACACUUAUGUCACACAGUGAGACCAUGAAACUUAUUGUGAAUUGAUAAGCACAUUUACACUCCUGAACAUAUUUAGGCUUGCCAUAACAAAAAGGAUUAAAUACUUAUUGACUAAA